rnacentral:rRNA from 1 species
UAGAUUUAUGUAAUUAAAAGUAAAUUCUGCCCUAUGAUUAAUUAAAUGGCUGCAGUAUAUUGACUGUGCAAAGGUAGCAUAAUAAUUAGUCUUUUAAUUGAGGACUUGUAUGAAUGAAUAAAUGAAAAGUUUAUUUUAUUAUUUUUAUUAUUAGAAUUUAAUUUUUGAGUUAAAAAGCUUAAUAGGUUUUUAGGGACGAGAAGACCCUAUAGAAUUUGAAUGUUCUUAAUAGUUUUUAUUGUUUAGUUUUAAGUUGAAUAUUGUAUUAUUAUUUGAUAUUUUUAUUGGGGUGAUAAAUAAAUUUAACUUUAUUUUUUUUAUUCAUUUAUUUAUGUAAGUUUUGAUCCAUUAUUAAUUAUGAUUAUAAGAUUUAAUUACCUUAGGGAUAACAGCGUAAUUUUUAUGGGGAGUUCAUAUUUAUAUAAAAGUUUGCGACCUCGAUGUUGAAUUAAGGUUAAAUUUUGGGGCAG